GGCAGGCCUCCUUGAGCUGUGGUGGGCUCCACCCAGUUCGAGCUUCCUGGCUGCUUUGUUUACCUAAUCAAGCCUGGGCAAUGGCGGGCGCCCCUCCCCCAGCCUCGCUGCCGCCUUGCACUUUGAUCUCAGACUGCUGUGCUAGCAAUCAGCGAGACUCCGUGGGUGUAGGACCCUCCGAGCCAGGUGCGGGAUAUAAUCUUGUGGUGUGCCAUUUUUUAAGCCCAUCGGAAAAGCGCCGUAUUCGGGUGGGAGUGACCCGAUUUUCCAGGUGCCAUCUGUCACCCUUUUCUUUGACUCAGAAAGGGAACUUGCUGACCCCUUGCGCUUCCCAAGUGAGGCAAUGCCUCGCCCUGCUUCGGCUCACGCACAGUGCGCCCACCCACUGACCUGCGCCCACUGUCUGGCACUCGCUAGUGAGAUGAACCCGGUACCUCAGAUGGAAAUGCAGAAAUCACCCGUCUUCUGCGUCGCUCAGGCUGGGAGCUGUAGACCAGAGCUGUUCCUAUUCGGCCAUCUUCUGGUGCUACAUUUUAAAAGAGAAAGAAAAACUACAUAUACAGUAAGACAUUCUGUGCUGGGAGGAGAGCAGAGGAUCCAGGGAGCAGAUUGCAGGGAGCUUCACUGAAGCAAGAUGACCGUGAUGCUGGAGAAGAGCCCUUGAGAUGGAACAGAAAUUCUAUGGCAGUACUGGCUGUGCCUGAGAAACCUCCUGCCACUCAAGCCCAGCAAGGUUCUUGGGAGAACAGUCCAGCAGAAUCAGUUAUCAAGACACAGGCAGGUUACUGAGUAGAUGGAUUGACCAGAGCUUCCUAUAAUACCAAGGAAAGUUUCACGGAGAACAUCUGGAAUUAAGUCAACUUGAGUGGAUUGAAGGAUGCAAAGUAUUUUUCCUGGGUGUGUCUGUCAGGGCGUUGCCAAAGGAGAUCAACAUUUGAGUCAGUGGCCCGGAAGAGGCAGACCCACCCUCUAUCUGGGUAGGCACCAUCUAAUCAGUUGCCAGUGUGGCUGGAAUAAAGCAGGCAGAAGAACAUGGAAGGACUUGACUUGCUGUCUUCUGGCCUUCAUCUUUCUCCUGUGGUGGAUGCUUCCUGCCCUUGAACCUUAGACUCCAGGUUCUUCAGCUUUUGGACUCUUGGACUUACACCAGUAAUUUGCCAGGGGCUGUCUCUCUAGCAUCCUUGCUCCUCAGCUUGCAGACAGCCUAUUGUGGGACUUCAAUUUGUGAUUGCAUGAGUCAAUACUUCUUAAUAAAUUCUCCUCCAUAUAUACAUCUGUCCUGUUUUUUCUGUUCCUUUAGAGAACCCUAAUUAAUACAGAUUUAUUCUCUUCCAGAUUCUUUUUAGAAAAAUUACAGAGAAUAUUGGAUU
rnacentral:lncRNA from 1 species